AGAAUCAUCUCCCUUACUUCUCACAGGGUGACAAUGGACACUUCCUGUGCUCAGGAAGCACAUCAGCUGGGAGACUCGGAGUGGCCAUAGCCCUGAAUUUCAGCGUGGAGUCAGCAUGAAACCAAAUGUACAUUACGGCUGCGGUGAUGAGAGCGAAGCUUUUACCAUUUGUUUUGGACUCCCGCGCUGAUAUGAAUGGGAGCAGGCAGCUGUGGAUGGCCAAAGCAGGGCCACUGGAAGUAAAGCUGGCAUUGACAAGGGCAGACAGGUGCAGAAGGAAACCUGGGUUUGGUUGACAUUGGUCCCUGGACUGGAGAGAGCUCAAGCCCUGGCUGCAAAUCGUUUGCCUUGAAGAGACAUAAAUGAGAACCACAACUGCCAGAAAAUAAGACGCUGCUGACUGUGACUGCUGAUAAGCUGAGUAAGGCAGGAGGUCAACAAUCCGGAGACUGCUCUUAAUUAUUAAAGGAUCAACAUGUCUUAAUGCACGCAUCCACUGGGGAGGCCAGAGAACCGGGGCUCGGGGAGAGAAGUCUUCUCCUCUUUAAAUUGGCAAAAACAAACACACGAAGCAGUUGUCCGGGGUGGGGGUGGGGGAGCUAAAGGGUUGCCCCUCUCUCCUAACUCUAAAUUUGGAACCGAGAAUAUUGGCACCUCUUCCUCUCCAGACUCAAGCUGCCGUGUCAUCGAGGAGUGGGUUUGCAGACGUGAUCUCCGUUUAACGAACUGAACCUUGACUCGGCCCCAUGGGCAAGGAGCGCUGGGAUCCAACAGCCCAGGGCCCCAGGGGAGCUUUGCGUGACUACUCUGCGUUAGUGCCUUCUCUUGUCCUAAAUUAAGCUCCUCGACAUAUAAUUAUCCAUCCCACACACUGAACCUAUCUCCCAGGUAAAUGUUUCUGCUCGGGGAACACUGGUUCGCAGGAUAAAAACAGUCCUCCUCUGUCUCCUCCCUGUCACCACCGCCAGCCCCACGGAUGAGUCCUUGCUGGGUGCCCUGGGCUCAGGGCUGGGCUGCCUGCUGCGGCGAUCACACGAAGCUACAGGUGAGCCCGAGGAAGUGGUGGUUGUGCCUUUUCUCCCUCCUUUUUUCUUUCUUUCCACAAUUGGAGGGAAAGGCGUCGGGACCGGUCAAGAGCGAUGCAGGUGGAUUUAGUACGAAAAGAAUCAGGACACCAUUCCGUUGCAAUACCUGACAACGUUGCAAAGGAAAAGGGCUUCAUAAAAGCAGCGGCCGGGUGGGUUGUCUCCAAACGAGUGUGGCUCCCGAGAUGAGGAGACCAUCCCGAAAAUUUGGCCGCAAUGCCUAUAAGCUGAAGUACCUGUUCCAGAUCUGUGCCAGAUGAGGUUUC